rnacentral:rRNA from 1 species
GACGAACGCUGGCGGCGUGCUUAACACAUGCAAGUCGAACGGAAAGGCCCUGCUUUUGUGGGGUGCUCGAGUGGCGAACGGGUGAGUAACACGUGAGUAACCUGCCCUUGACUUUGGGAUAACUUCAGGAAACUGGGGCUAAUACCGGAUAGGAGCUCCUGCUGCAUGGUGGGGGUUGGAAAGUUUCGGCGGUUGGGGAUGGACUCGCGGCUUAUCAGCUUGUUGGUGGGGUAGUGGCUUACCAAGGCUUUGACGGGUAGCCGGCCUGAGAGGGUGACCGGCGACAUUGGGACUGAGAUACGGCGCAGACUCCUACGGGAGGCAGCAGUGGGGAAUAUUGCACAAUGGGCGGAAGCCUGAUGCAGAAACGCCGCGUGCGGGAUGACGGCCUUCGGGUUGUAAACCGCUUUCGCCUGUGACGAAGCGUGAGUGACGGUAAUGGGUAAAGAAGCACCGGCUAACUACGUG